AUUGAACGCUGGCGGCAGGCCUAACACAUGCAAGUCGAACGAGUGGCAGACGGGUGAGAAAUGUCGGGAAAACUGCCUGAGGGAGGGAGAAAACUACUGGAAACGGUCGCUAAUACCGCAUAACCGCGGAUGUGCACAGAGGGGAUUGGCUAGUAGGUGGGGUAGAGGCUCACCUAGGAGACGAUCCCUAGCUGGUCUGAGAGGAUGACCAGCCACACUGGAACUGAGACACGGUCCAGACUCCUACGGGAGGCAGCAGUGGGGAAUAUUGCACAAUGGGCGCAAGCCUGAUGCAGCCAUGCCGCGUGUAUGAAGAAGGCCUUCGGGUUGUAAAGUACUUUCAGCGGGGAGGCGUUACCCGCAGAAGAAGCACCGGCUAACUCCGUGCCAGCAGCCGCGGUAAUAC
rnacentral:rRNA from 1 species